rnacentral:rRNA from 1 species
UACGAAGGGGGCUAGCGUUGCUCGGAUUGACUGGGCGUAAAGGGCGCGUAGGCGGUUUGCAUAGUCAGACGUGAAAUUCCUGGGCUUAACCUGGGGGCUGCGUUUGAUACAUGCAGGCUUGAGUUCGGAAGAGGGUCGUGGAAUUCCCAGUGUAGAGGUGAAAUUCGUAGAUAUUGGGAAGAACACCGGUGGCGAAGGCGGCGACCUGGUCCGAUACUGACGCUGAGGAGCGAAAGCAUGGGGAGCGAACAGG